rnacentral:rRNA from 1 species
CCUACGGGGGGCAGCAGUAGGGAAUUUUCGGCAAUGGGGGGAACCCUGACCGAGCAACGCCGCGUGAGGGAGGAAGUAUUUCGGUAUGUAAACCUCUGUUAUAAAGGAAGAACGGUGCAUGAAGGGAAUGACAUGCAAGUGCAGGUACUUUAUGAGGAAGCCACGGCUAACUACGUGCCAGCAGCCGAGGUAAUACGUAGGUGGCGAGCGUUAUCCGGAAUUAGUGGGCGUAAAGCGGAAGCAGGCGGCAGCUAAGCGCUGCGGUGAAAGCCCGAAGCUAAACUUCGGUAAGCCGUGGAAACCGAGCAGCUAGAGUGCAGUAGAGGAUCGUGGAAUUACAGGUGUAGCGGUGAAAUGCGUAGAUAUAUGGAGGAACACCAGUGGCGAAGGCGACGAUCUGGGCUGCAACUGACGCUCAGUCCCGAAAGCGUGGGGAGCAAAUAGGAUUAGAUACCCCAGUAGUC